AAUCCCCCACUUUAUUGAAGCCCUGCGUUCCGCGCUGGGUACUUUGUAGGCAAAGUGGGGGAUU
rnacentral:sRNA from 12 species